rnacentral:rRNA from 1 species
AACGAACGCUGGCGGCAUGCCUAACACAUGCAAGUCGAACGAGACCUUCGGGUCUAGUGGCGCACGGGUGCGUAACGCGUGGGAACCUGCCCUUAGGUUCGGAAUAACUCCCCGAAAGGGGUGCUAAUACCGGAUAAUGUCUUCGGACCAAAGAUUUAUCGCCUUUGGAUGGGCCCGCGUUGGAUUAGCUAGUUGGUAGGGUAAAAGCCUACCAAGGCGACGAUCCAUAGCUGGUCUGAGAGGAUGAUCAGCCACACUGGGACUGAGACACGGCCCAGACUCCUACGGGAGGCAGCAGUGGGGAAUAUUGGACAAUGGGCGAAAGCCUGAUCCAGCAAUGCCGCGUGAGUGAGGAAGGCCUUAGGGUUGUAAAGCUCUUUUACCCGGGAUGAUAAUGACAGUACCGGGAGAAUAAGCGCCGGCUAACUCCGUG